rnacentral:tRNA from 1 species
GCGCCUGUAGUUCAAUGGAUAGAGCGCCAGUCUUCGGAACUGGUUGUUGCUGGUUCGAGUCCAGCCAGGCGCA